rnacentral:lncRNA from 1 species
AGAUCAAUCGAAUAGUACAAUGGAGAGAUAUCGGCUCUGGAAGAUUGGCAUUAAGAUUGGAGAAGGAAGCUGGCCAAUAUCCGAGCACAUUUUUGAGGUUAUCAUCAAUUUGAUAACUCCGAUCCUUUUCAAUUUUUUUGUGCUUGUUUUUAACUUAUUGUUUUAGAAGUGUGCAAAAUUUGAGUUAAGAUAAACGGUUUAUUCAUUAGUUAUUGAGAUUUAAAUCUGUUGUAGGAAUUACUAGGGUUUGGUUUAUGAUUUGGUUGGGAUUCGGUUUAGGGUUUAGGGUUUGGUUAGGAUUUGGUUUAAGAUUUAGGAUUUAGAUUAGGAUUUAGUUUAGGAUUUGAUUAGGGUUUUAUUUAGGAUUUAAGAUUUAUUUAGGAUUUGAUUUAGGAUUUAGGGUUUAGGAUUUGGUUAGGAUUUUAUUUAGAGUUUAGAAUUUAUUUAGGAUUUGAUUUAGGAUUUAGGAUUUAGUUAGGAUUUUUUUUAGGGUUAAGGAUUUGGAUUAGGAUUUGAUUUAGAAUUUAGGAUUUAGAUUAGGAUUUGAUUAGGGUUUGAUUUAGGAUUUAGGAUUUGGUUAGGAUUUGGUUUAGGAUUUGAGUAUGGUUUGAUUUAAGGUUUGUUUAGGGUCUGAUUUAGGAUUUAGGAUUUUAUUAGGAUCUAAGAUUCAAUUAGUUUUGGCCUAAAGUUUGAAUGAAGUUCAAUAGGAUUUUAACUAGAAUUAAAUUAAGAUUGAAUUGAGAUGUAUUUGAGUGAUAUUUAUAAUUCUUCUAAUAUUUCUUUAAGAAUUCUUAUUAUUUGUUUGAAAUUUCUUUGAGGUUUUUUUGAAUUUGAUUAAGCUUGCUUAGUAUUAUUACGGUCUAAUUAGAGUAUUGUUAGUAUUCUAUUAGAAUUAGGAUUUUUUUAUUGUAAUUUCCAUUCUUCCUUCCACA